rnacentral:rRNA from 1 species
AACGUAGGUUCCGAGCGUUAUCCGGAUUUACUGGGCGUAAAGCGCGUUCAGGCGGUUUGGCAAGUCGGGCAUGAAAUCUCUCGGCUCAACCGGGAGAGGUUGUCCGAUACUUCCAGACUUGAGGGCAGUAGAGGGUGGUGGAAUUCCGGGUGUAGUGGUGAAAUGCGUAGAUAUCCGGAGGAACACCAGUGGCGAAAGCGGCAUCCUGGACCAACACUGACGCUGAGUGAGCGAAAGCCAGGGGAGCAAACGGG